UACGGAGGAUGCGAGCGUUAUCCGGAUUUAUUGGGUUUAAAGGGUGCGUAGGCGGCCUGCCAAGCCAGCGGUAAAAUUGCGGGGCUCAACCCCGUACAGCCGUUGAAACUGCCGGGCUCGAGUGGGCGAGAAGUAUGCGGAAUGCGUGGUGUAGCGGUGAAAUGCAUAGAUAUCACGCAGAACCCCGAUUGCGAAGGCAGCAUACCGGCGCCCUACUGACGCUGAGGCACGAAAGUGCGGGGAUCAAACAGG
rnacentral:rRNA from 1 species